AUCCUGGCUCAGGAUGAACGCUAGCGGCAGGCCUAAUACAUGCAAGUCGAACGAUACCAGAGAGCUUGCUUUCUGGGAAAGUGGCGCACGGGUGCGUAACGCGUAUGCAACCUACCUUAAUCAGGGGGGAUAGCCUCUCGAAAGAGAGAUUAACACCGCAUAAAAUCACACUUCGGCAUCGAAGAAUGAUCAAAUAUUUAUAGGAUUAAGAUGGGCAUGCGUGACAUUAGCUAGUUGGUAAGGUAACGGCUUACCAAGGCUACGAUGUCUAGGGGAUCUGAGAGGAUGACCCCCCACACUGGUACUGAGACACGGACCAGACUCCUACGGGAGGCAGCAGUAAGGAAUAUUGGUCAAUGGGGGCAACCCUGAACCAGCCAUGCCGCGUGCAGGAAGACGGCCCUACGGGUUGUAAACUGCUUUUAUACGGGAAUAAAUCUCGCUACGUGUAGUGAGUUGAAUGUACUGUAAGAAUAAGGAUCGGCUAACUCCGUG
rnacentral:rRNA from 1 species